AAGCAAUAUGUCAAUUCCUCAAAGAGCUAAAAAAGAACUACCAUUGGACUCAGCAAUCCCAUUACUGGGUAUAUACUCAGAGGAAUAUAAGUCACUCUACUAUAAACACACACGCAUGCAAAUUUUCAUUGUAGCACUAUUUACAAUAGCAAAGACAUGGAAUCAACCUAAAUGCUCAUCAAUGACAGAUCGGAUAAAGAAAAUAUGCAUCUUCAACCUUUCUGGACUACAGCACCUGCCAACUGACCCCCACAUCAUGGCUCCAACGCUGGCUUCAUCACAUAUCUUCUCUCUCAGUCCCUUUGGCUCUCAGGGUGCAAUAGCUUAACAAAAUUGCUGAUCUAGGUGCCUCAGCAUUGUUUCUUUGUCAUAGUCUCUGUAUUAUCUUAUUUUGAGCCAUUCUUUUCCUGCAAAGAUCCUAACUGAAUGAGAUAACUACUUCAUAAGCUAUUUGUAAGGUUUAAAU
rnacentral:lncRNA from 1 species